rnacentral:tRNA from 1 species
CGGUCGGAAUAGGGGGGUAAAUUCCUUCCCUUAGAUGGAACUGCUAUGUAGACUUUUGUUUACCGAGGGUUCGAAUCCCUCUCUUUCCGU